GAGGCGAACCGGGGGAACUGAAACAUCUAAGUACCCCGAGGAAAAGAAAUCAACCGAGAUUCCGAAAGUAGCGGCGAGCGAAAUUGGACUAGCCCUUAAGCUUUACACGCGUUAGACGAACGGUCUGGAAAGUCCGACGAUACAGGGUGAUAGUCCCGUAGUUGACGACGUGUGUUCAGUGAAAUCGAGUAGGGCGGGACACGUGAUAUCCUGUCUGAAUAUGGGGGGACCAUCCUCCAAGGCUAAAUACUACUG
rnacentral:rRNA from 1 species